rnacentral:lncRNA from 1 species
GCCUAGUACCUCAGUGCUCAAGAGAUGCUGAUGCCUAAACCAAGCGGCCCCCGCCUCCUCGCCCUAUCUAGGGUGGGGCGGGGCGGGGCGAGAAUUUAAAAUAGUUUUAAUCCAGAGUUCUAUAUCUGGUGGUGUUAUUUGUCAAAUGUGGUAGAAAAGUGAAGACUUUACAAGAAACAAAUCUUAAAGAAAUUAAUGAUCACUAAAGCAGCACUGCAGAAAAUAAUUCAGAAAAUCCAAGAGAGACAAAGGCGGCUCUACCAGCAUCGCAGUACUGAUUAGCUAAUGGAAGCAGUUUAAUCUUGAUUAUUUCACCUUAUUUUUGCUAAAUUAAGUUCUGUAUUACUCAAGUAUUUUGUCUUGAAAGUUUCCUUUGAAGCUUUGCAUGCUACUUGCCCGAGGCACAUCAUUUGCACUGAUAUGGAACCUUCAGUUUUUCACAGGAAGCAAGAGGACAACUUUAAAUAUUGCCUGCACAUGUGAUCUAUCACCUUCUAAAUCAUAGGAUUUACCACUUUGUUAAAUUCACAUCUCAACACAGAAGAUGCAGUUUCUUUCUAAACGUAUAAACCCAAGUCACAGCAUUACAAGACAUGAAUGCAGGUUCCCAUGGUGCCGGGCAACUGAAAACAGUAAGAACCAACUGCAGCAGGGCACGAGGUGAAGUCCUAGUUGGAAUCAGUCUGUGAAGUGUUUGGCAACGUGAAUACAGCUUUCUUUCACUGUUAUUGCUAUUGUCAUUGAUUUUAUCACCUACACAUAUACCAGGACUCAAUAUAAGAAUAAAAUAAAAAUAUAUUACACAGAAACAAACAACCUGAUGAAUAUAAUGGACGAUUGGUUCUCUCAAAUUUAAUCGAGAGGAAAAAAUGAAUAACUGAAUGCUAUAAUAAUUUUAUUUAUUUU